rnacentral:rRNA from 1 species
GGGAGUACGGUCGCAAGACUGAAACUCAAAGGAAUUGACGGGGCCCGCACAAGCGGUGGAGCAUGUGGUUAAUUCGAAGCAACGCGAAAACCUUACCAGGUCUUGACAUCCUCUGACAAUCCUAGAGAUAGGACGUCCCCUUCGGGGGCAGAGUGACAGGUGGUGCAUGGUUGUCGUCAGCUCGUGUCGUGAGAUGUUGGGUUAAGUCCCGCAACGAGCGCAACCCUUGAUCUUAGUUGCCAGCAUUCAGUUGGGCACUCUAAGGUGACUGCCGGUGACAAACCGGAGGAAGGUGGGGAUGACGUCAAAUCAUCAUGCCCCUUAUGACCUGGGCUACACACGUGCUACAAUGGGCAGAACAAAGGGCAGCGAAGCCGCGAGGCUAAGCCAAUCCCACAAAUCUGUUCUCAGUUCGGAUCGCAGUCUGCAACUCGACUGCGUGAAGCUGGAAUCGCUAGUAAUCGCGGAUCAGCAUGCCGCGGUGAAUACGUUCCCGGGCCUUGUACACACCGCCCGUCACACCACGAGAGUUUGUAACACCC